rnacentral:rRNA from 1 species
UACGUAGGGUGCGAGCGUUGUCCGGAAUUAUUGGGCGUAAAGAGCUUGUAGGCGGUUUGUCGCGUCUGCCGUGAAAAUCCGGGGCUCAACCCGGACUGCGGUGGGUACGGGCAGACUAGAGUGUGGUAGGGGAGACUGGAAUUCCUGGUGUAGCGGUGAAAUGCGCAGAUAUCAGGAGGAACACCGAUGGCGAAGGCAGGUCUCUGGGCCACUACUGACGCUGAGAAGCGAAAGCGUGGGAGCGAACAGG